rnacentral:rRNA from 1 species
UGCAAGUCGAGCGGACCGACGGGAGCUUGCUCCCUUAGGUCAGCGGCGGACGGGUGAGUAACACGUGGGUAACCUGCCUGUAAGACUGGGAUAACUCCGGGAAACCGGGGCUAAUACCGGAUGCUUGAUUGAACCGCAUGGUUCAAUCAUAAAAGGUGGCUUUCAGCUACCACUUGCAGAUGGACCCGCGGCGCAUUAGCUAGUUGGUGAGGUAACGGCUCACCAAGGCGACGAUGCGUAGCCGACCUGAGAGGGUGAUCGGCCACACUGGGACUGAGACACGGCCCAGACUCCUACGGGAGGCAGCAGUAGGGAAUCUUCCGCAAUGGACGAAAGUCUGACGGAGCAACGCCGCGUGAGUGAUGAAGGUUUUCGGAUCGUAAAACUCUGUUGUUAGGGAAGAACAAGUACCGUUCGAAUAGGGCGGUACCUUGACGGUACCUAACCAAAAAGCCACGGCUAACUACGUGCCAGCAGCCGCGGUAAUACAUAGGUGGCAAGCUGUUGUCCG